CCAAACCCCAAGUUGUUGUGGAGCCACCAAAUGAAAGCAUCAGACUACCACCAAACCAUACCCCUAUUUCAAACAACAAACGCCCCUAAAACCUUCACAUAUCCACAACAAUGGUGUACCCAGUUGGGUUUUUAUGAAUCUUGAAAUCAUUCAUAACAACAAAAACAAGUAUGAACGGAGACCCCCAUAUGGAGGACUUCAAGUAUUCUAUAGCUUUAAUCUCUUGUAUGAUAAUGGUGGUCACAGCAAAACACAUACCCACUACCUUAGAAGGCCCAUUUCAGCCUGUAACUCGCACCUUCGAUCCUUCGUUGCGUCGGGGCAGUGAUGACUUGCCUAUGAAUCAUCCAAGGCUCAAAAGGAAUGUGACCUCAAUGUUCCCAGAACAGAUAGCUCUUGCAAUAUCUUCACCUAGUUCAAUGUGGGUGUCUUGGAUUACUGGGGAUGCCCAGAUUGGUCUCAAUGUGACUCCACUUGAUCCAUCCAUGAUUGGAAGUGAGGUUUGGUAUGGGAAGAAAAGUGGCAAGUAUUCGAUGAAGCAGACCGGGGUUUCAACGAUUUACAGUCAGUUGUACCCAUUUGAGGGUCUUUUGAACUACACCUCUGGCAUCAUUCAUCAUGUGAGGAUUGAUGGUCUUGAACCUGGAAGAAAGUAUUAUUACAAGUGUGGGGAUAGUUCUUUACCAGCUAUGAGUGAGGAGCAUGUCUUUAAAACCUUACCAUUGCCUGGCCACAACAUGUAUCCUCGUCGAGUGGCUGUUGUUGGAGAUUUAGGUCUCACAAGUAAUUCCACAACAACCGUUGAUCAUCUUAUCGAAAACGAUCCUUCCAUGAUUUUAAUGGUUGGAGACUUGACUUAUGCAAACCAGUACCUUACAACUGGUGGAAAAGGAGCUUCAUGCUAUUCAUGUGCGUUCCCAGAUGCACCCAUUAGAGAAACAUUUCAACCCCGCUGGGAUGGGUGGGGAAGGUUCAUGGAGCCCCUGAUCUCAAGAGUUCCUAUGAUGGUUAUAGAAGGCAACCAUGAGAUUGAGCCUCAAGCUUCUGGAAUCACUUUUAAAUCAUAUCUGACGAGAUUUUCCGUUCCCUCGGAUGAGUCUGGUUCUAACAGCAACUACUACUACUCAUUUGAUGCUGGAGGAAUUCAUUUCAUCAUGUUGGGAGCAUAUGUGGACUACAACAGUACUGGUGCUCAGUAUGCUUGGCUAAAGAAAGACCUACACAAAAUAGAUCGCAGUGUGACUCCUUGGCUAGUAGCUGCCUGGCAUCCUCCUUGGUAUAACAGUUAUUCAUCACACUAUCAGGAAUUUGAAUGCAUGAGGCUGGAAAUGGAAGCACUUCUGUAUCAAUAUGGUGUUGAUAUUGUCUUUUCUGGUCAUUCUGUUAUGGACCUUUUUCUGCCCUGCUUCAUUGUGAUUGCAAUUCAACGGUCACCUAACACGAAAAAUCAGGUGCACGCUUAUGAGCGGAUGAAUAGAGUAUUCAAUUACACAUUGGAUUCAUGCGGACCUGUCUACAUAACAGUUGGAGAUGGUGGUAAUAUUGAGAAAGUUGAUGUUGAUCAUGCAGAUGACCCUGGGAAGUGUCCGUCAGCAAGUGAUAACACACCAGAAUUUGGUGGGGUAUGCCAUUUGAAUUUCUCUUCUGGCCCUGCUAAAGGGAAGUUUUGCUGGGAAAAACAACCAGAGUGGAGUGCGUACAGAGAGAGCAGCUUUGGACAUGGAAUACUUGAGGUUGUGAAUUCUACAUAUGCAUUGUGGACUUGGCACAGAAAUCAGGAUAUUUACAAGGAAAACAGCCAUGGCGAUCAAAUAUAUAUUGUACGACAGCCUCAAUUGUGCUCUACAUCUUCAAAAAUUAUGAAUGCAUUCUUGAAGCUUCUAUAGCUAUAUAGACUGAAAAUGAGCAAUCCUAACCGUAUCCAUCCAAGAAUUGUCGACAAAGAGGGCAACCUCAUGAUUUAGCAAAGGUUUUCUUUUUAAUCCAUGGUUUUAUGAACAUCCUUCUAAUUAGUUUGUGAGGCCAACACAUUGAUUCCCUUAGGGAAGGAUAUUGAAAUCAAACCACCUUUGAAACAAAUGGACUCCACAGCAGGACUCGAAGUUCCCUUGUUUGGUGGCUUUAUCUUCUACUUGUUCUUUUUCCUAGUUUUGCUUCAUUAGUUGUCGUUGAUUUAAGAAAUGUG